UACGUAGGUGGCAAGCGUUGUCCGGAUUUACUGGGCGUAAAGCGCGCGUAGGCGGAUUGUUAAGUCGGGGGUGAAAUCCCGAGGCUCAACCUCGGAACUGCCUUCGAUACUGGCGAUCUUGAGUCCGGGAGAGGUGAGUGGAACUCCUAGUGUAGAGGUGAAAUUCGUAGAUAUUAGGAAGAACACCAGUGGCGAAGGCGGCUCACUGGCCCGGUACUGACGCUGAUGUGCGAAAGCGUGGGGAGCAAACAGG
rnacentral:rRNA from 1 species